rnacentral:rRNA from 1 species
GUGUCAGCAGCCGCGGUAAUACGUACCACACGAACGUUAUUCGGAAUCACUGGGCUUAAAGGGUGCGCAGGCUGUGCAGAAAGUCGGGUGUGAAAUCCCUCGGCUCAACCGAGGAACUGCGCCCGAAACUACUGUGCUCGAGGGAGAUAGAGGUGAGCGGAACUUAGGGUGGAGCGGUGAAAUGCGUUGAUAUCCUAAGGAACACCGGUGGCGAAAGCGGCUCACUGGAUCUCUUCUGACGCUCAUGCACGAAAGCCAGGGGAGCGAACGGGAUUAGAAACCCCGGUAGUCC